rnacentral:rRNA from 1 species
AUUGAACGCUGGCGGCAGGCCUAACACAUGCAAGUCGAGCGGAUGAAGGGAGCUUGCUCCUGGAUUCAGCGGCGGACGGGUGAGUAAUGCCUAGGAAUCUGCCUGGUAGUGGGGGAUAACGUCCGGAAACGAGCGCUAAUACCGCAUACGUCCUGAGGGAGAAAGUGGGGGAUCUUCGGACCUCACGCUAUCAGAUGAGCCUAGGUCGGAUUAGCUAGUUGGUGGGGUAAAGGCCUACCAGGGCGACGAUCCGUAACUGGUCUGAGAGGAUGAUCAGUCACACUGGAACUGAGACACGGUCCAGACUCCUACGGGAGGCAGCAGUGGGGAAUAUUGGACAAUGGGCGAAAGCCUGAUCCAGCCAUGCCGCGUGUGUGAAGAAGGUCUUCGGAUUGUAAAGCACUUUAAGUUGGGAGGAAGGGCAGUAAGUUAAUACCUUGCUGUUUUGACGUUACCAACAGAAUAAGCACCGGCUAACUUCGUG